rnacentral:misc_RNA from 1 species
GAUGAAGAACGUAGCGAAAUGCGAUACGUAAUGUGAAUUGCAGAAUUCAGUGAAUCAUCGAAUCUUUGAACGCAUAUUGCGCUCUCUGGUAUUCCGGAGAGCAUGCUUGUUUGAGUAUCAGUAAACACCUCAACUUCCAUAUCUUUUUUGAAAUGGGAGUUGGACUUGAGUGAUCCCAACGCUUUUCCUCACCGAAAAGUGGCGGGUUACUUGAAAUGCAGGUGCAGCUGGACUUUUCUCUGAGCUAUAAGCAUAUCUAUUUAGUCUGCCUAAAAAACAGAUUAUUACCUUUGCUGCAGCUAACAUAAAGGAGAUUAGUUCUUGUGCUGACUGAUGCAGGAUUCACAAAGACAGGCUUCGGCCGACUUUGUAAACUCGAUCUCAAAUCAAGUAAGACAACCCGCUGAACUUAAGCAUAUCAAUAAGCGGAGGA